AAUAAACAUACGGACAUCGGUUUCCCAAAACCGAUUGCCGUAACUUGCCGGAGGUCCCGAAACUCGCACCAGGACUCCGUCGAGACCCAAGAAUUGUCCCGGAACGCACCGACUCGUGCCACGAGUCACCCGCUGCCACACAACACCGUAAUAAAGGUGUCCUGGAAGCAAAAACAAAGCUCACAUUGAAACGAUUAUCGUCGGAUAAUCGUUCUGAUCCGAG
rnacentral:lncRNA from 1 species